CGUUUGUGCGUGAAUCUAACA
rnacentral:miRNA from 1 species